rnacentral:rRNA from 1 species
AUUGAACGCUGGCGGCAUGCCUUACACAUGCAAGUCGAACGGCAGCGCGGACUUCGGUCUGGUGGCGAGUGGCGAACGGGUGAGUAAUAUAUCGGAACAUACCUUGUAGUGGGGGAUAACUAUCCGAAAGGAUAGCUAAUACCGCAUACGCUCUAAGGAGGAGAGCGGGGGAUCGUAAGACCUCGUGCUAUAAGAGUGGCCGAUAUCUGAUUAGCUAGUUGAUGAGGUAAAGGCUCACCAAGGCGACGAUCAGUAGCUGGUCUGAGAGGACGACCAGCCACACUGGAACUGAGACACGGUCCAGACUCCUACGGGAGUCAGCAGUGGGGAAUUGUGGACAAUGGGGGCAACCCUGAUCCAGCAAUGCCGCGUGAGUGAAGAAGGCCUUCGGGUUGUAGAGCUCUUUUGUCAGGGAAGAAACGGUUGUGGCUAAUAUCCAUGGCUAAUGACGGUACCUGAAGAAUAAGCACCGGCUAACUACGUGCCAGCAGCCGCGGUAACAC